rnacentral:rRNA from 1 species
AAAGGCGCGCGAUACAGGGUGACAGCCCCGUACACAAAAGCGCAUGUGCUGUGAGCUCGAUGAGUAGGGCGGGACACGUGGUAUCCUGUCUGAAUAUGGGGGGACCAUCCUCCAAGGCUAAAUACUCCUGACUGACCGAUAGUGAACCAGUACCGUGAGGGAAAGGCGAAAAGAACCCCGGCGAGGGGAGUGAAAAAGAACCUGAAACCGUGUACGUACAAGCAGUGGGAGCACAGGUUUACCUGUGUGACUGCGUACCUUUUGUAUAAUGGGUCAGCGACUUAUAUUCUGUAGCAAGGUUAACCGUAUAGGGGAGCCGAAGGGAAACCGAGUCUUAACCGGGCGUUAAGUUGCAGGGUAUAGACCCGAAACCCGGUGAUCUAGCCAUGGGCAGGUUGAAGGUUGGGUAACACUAACUGGAGGACCGAACCGACUAAUGUUGAAAAAUUAGCGGAUGACCUGUGGCUGGGGGUGAAAGGCCAAUCAAACCGGGAGAUAGCUGGUUCUCCCCGAAAGCUAUUUAGGUAGCGCCUCGUGAACUCAUCUCCGGGGGUAGAGCACUGUUUCGGCUAGGGGGCCAUCCCGGCUUACCAACCCGAUGCAAACUGCGAAUACCGGAGAAUGUUAUCACGGGAGACACACGGCGGGUGCUAACGUCCGUCGUGAAGAGGGAAACAACCCAGACCGCCAGCUAAGGUCCCAAAGUCAUGGUUAAGUGGGAAACGAUGUGGGAAGGCCCAGACAGCCAGGAUGUUGGCUUAGAAGCAGCCAUCAUUUAAAGAAAGCGUAAUAGCUCACUGGUCGAGUCGGCCUGCGCGGAAGAUGUAACGGGGCUAAACCAUGCACCGAAGCUGCGGCAGCGACAUUUAGGUGUUGUUGGGUAGGGGAGCGUUCUGUAAGCCUGUGAAGGUGGCCUGUGAGGGUUGCUGGAGGUAUCAGAAGUGCGAAUGCUGACAUAAGUAACGAUAAAGCGGGUGAAAAGCCCGCUCGCCGGAAGACCAAGGGUUCCUGUCCAACGUUAAUCGGGGCAGGGUGAGUCGACCCCUAAGGCGAGGCCGA